CCCUGUUAUGACAGGCUAUAUUUAAAGGUCCCUGUUUAACAGGCUAUAUUUAAAGGUCCCUGUUUAACAGGCUAUAUUUAAAGGUCCCUGUUUAGCAGGCUAUAUUAGAGAUCCCUGUGUAUCAGGCUAUGUUAAAAAGUCCCUGUUUAGCAGGCUAUACUUAAAGGUCCCUGCGGGGCAGGCAUAAACUGAUUUUAUUUUAAGGUUUCUGAUUCAACAGGUUAUACUUAAAGGUCCCUGCGUGGCAGGCAUACACUGAUUUUAUUUUAAGGUUUUUGAUUUAACAGGUUAUACUUAAAGGUCCCUGCUAGGCAGGCAUGUACAAGGUCCCAAACCUCUGGUUUAGGCAUAUUUUUACGAACAUAAACUUAGGUUAUGUAAAACGUCAAGAAUUUAUAUUGUGGUUAAGUUACUUUUAUUUUGGAAAGUUGGAUCCUUAAACUAGUUUUGUUUAGCCUUAAUCCCUCAGAGGUUAAUAUGGCAAGCCUUGAAAUGUUUGUUUUGCGUUGAUGUUGUAAAAGUAACUGACAGUAAAAUCAGUUAAGGAAAUUUUGUCUUCAAGAUUAAUUCAGAUUAAUUCUGAUUUGUUCCCCGAAUAUAUUUUGAACAGUAAGUGUUCUGAAAUAUUUACAGAUUACCGCUGUCAAAGUUUACACGCUGUCAUGUGUUCAAACUGCAAACGGUGCGAGGACACCCCGACGUCAGGAAGGCCGUGAUAGCUGGCUUCUCUAAAUUACGUCAGCUUACGACACCUGAUCUGAGACCGCCGCAGCGUGGCCCUUCUUCGAAAAACAAAGCUGGAGCAAUAUUGCGAAUGUUGCAUCAUUCUUAUAAGUUUAGUCAGUUUAGAUCGACUUUCGAACUAUUCACGUAUUUCUAAGCGGAAUAAAACGUAUUUUGAGGAA
rnacentral:lncRNA from 1 species